UAUGUUGUGUAAAAGCAUUUCAGUAUGUUCUGUGAAAGCAUUUCAGUUGAAACGGAAGCUGGUUGAAAUCUCCAGUCCAGUUGGUGGCAGUAGUGCACCUCAAGAGACCGAGUGUGGGCGAGAGAGAACGAGUGUGCGGGUAAAGGAUCAAAUAAACAUACUGAACCAUUUUAACUUGUACGGUAGCAUUAAGUUGAGGUAUCCUGCAGUUUUUAAAUAUGCCUAAAAACUUUUAUUAUCAAUUAUAAACUAUUGUAUGGAGUCAAGGGAUUGGGGGCGUAUACAACUCGCCUGCGUGUGUUGCGUCAUCAGCUUGAAUUGCAGACGCAGACUGAGGUGGAGCUGAAUCAGACAAGAGACAUGCGGCUGGAUCAAAGUAACGGCAGAGGACACACUUUGCAUUGCUUGAUGGUGUUGUGAACUGGAAGAAAUAAAACAUUCGAGGCUCCUCCGACAACAAUUAUCCUCUUUGAAAGUUUUACGUUCGUUGAAUUAAAGUUUAUUUGACUCCAUUUUCAUUGUUUUUAUUUCAUAUAUUAUUUAUAAUUGUAAAGCAAAUUCUUACAACCUGAUAGGAAAGCAUAUGAUUUACUAAGAAUUUCAGAUAACUUUAUAAUGAAAAUCCUUCUUGGUUUACAAGAAAGAGAAAUACCAAUCUAAUGCAAUUGAAAUUUUCAAACAUGUAAAGUUAUGUUCUCAUAAUGAUUAAUGUUUGACAUCAAGGUAACGAUCACUUUAGCCUUCCACUAAUAUCAGUUUAAAAGGAAAGAUUUGAUAUCGUUAAUCAUACAUCAAGAAUAAAACAGAAGACAUAACUAGUGAAACGACCUUACAGUGCAGUGUGCCAGUGAGGUAGGGUGGCGGGUCACUGCAAAUUGCCUGUAUCCAGUGGUGGGACAGUGUCCGGAUGGGGAAUAACCACUUUAACAUUUCUGCUUCAUUCAUAGGGUGCCAAAUAAUACAAAAUUACAGAAAAUACAA